GACGUAGGGGACGAGCGUUGUCCGGAUUCAUUGGGCGUAAAGCGCGCGUAGGCGGUUACGCAAGUCGGUUGUGAAAAUCCGGGGCUCAACCCCGGACCUGCAUCCGAUACUGCGUGACUAGAGGUAGGUAGGGGAGAUCGGAAUUCCUGGUGUAGGCGGUGGAAAUGCGCAGAUAUACAGGAGGAACACCGGUGGCGAAGGCGGCGACCUGGGUCGAGACUGACGCUGAGGCGCGAAAGCGUGGGGAGCAAACAGG
rnacentral:rRNA from 1 species